GAACGCACCUUGCGCCCUCUGGUAUUCCGGAGGGCAUGCCUGUUUGAGUGUCAUGUAGACUCAAUCCCUCGGGUUUCCGAGGAGAUUGGACUUGGGUGUUGCCGCUCUGCCGGCUCGCCUUAAAAGACUUAGCGGGAUAGCACCGUAGUCGGCGUAAUAAGUUAUUUCGCUGAGGACAAUCUUCGGAUUGGCCGAGUUUCUGGGACGUUUGUCCGCUUUCUAAUACAAGUUCUAGCUUGCUAGACAUGACUUUUUUAUUAUCUGGCCUCAAAUCAGGUAGGACUACCCGCUGAACUUAAG
rnacentral:misc_RNA from 1 species